rnacentral:rRNA from 1 species
AAUCAACGCUGGCGGCGUGCCUAACACAUGCAAGUCGCACGAGAAAGGGACUUCGGUCCUGAGUACAGUGGCGCACGGGUGAGUAACACGUGAAUCAUCUACCUUCGAGUGGGGAAUAACUGAGAGAAAUCUUAGCUAAUACCGCAUAAUACCUACGGGUCAAAGCAGCAAUGCGCUUGAAGAGGAGUUCGCGGCAGAUUAGUUAGUUGGCGGGGUAAUGGCCCACCAAGACGAUGAUCUGUAUCCGGCCUGAGAGGGCGCACGGACACACUGGAACUGAAACACGGUCCAGACUCCUACGGGAGGCAGCAGUGGGGAAUUUUGCGCAAUGGGGGAAACCCUGACGCAGCAACGCCGCGUGGAGGAUGAAAUCCCUUGGGAUGUAAACUCCUUUCGAUCGGGAAGAUGAUGACGGUACCGAGAGAAGA